AUGAAGGGCGGCGUUUUGUAUCCGAGCUUCAUCGGAGUUGAUGUGGAGCCCAAGCGCCUCAAAGACUUCCUGCAGGAGGAGAAAUUGUACACAUUUGUCGGUUUCAGCAUUGGAGGUGACAAGCGGAUGCUGGACAAGUCUCGUUUGGAGAUCAACCCCAACAACUUCAUCGACAUGCAACGCAAGUGGAAAGAUCCAAAUACCGACAAAUACUACGACUCCUUGGCCGAUGUUGCAGGCGGCGUCAUCCACCCAUUCUACGAUAGCAUGAAGAAGAAGAUGGACAGGGCAGACCACAAACUGUGGGGGACCAGCCCGCUGCGAGACAACCUCAUCACGUACGCAGGAAUUGAUGUGUACGCAACGUACAAGUCAUGGAAGUCAAUCAACAACAUCAUGAUAGGUUGGGAUAUUUCAAAAGAGCAGGAGGCUGACCCCUAUUACCACUACAACUUUGCGGGAUGA
rnacentral:rRNA from 1 species